CCUACGGGUGGCUGCAGUGAGGAAUAUUGGUCAAUGGUCGGAAGCCUGAACCAGCCAAGCAGCGUGCAGGAUGACGGCCCUACGGAUUGUAAACUUCUUUUAUCCGGGAAUAACGCCCCUUACGUGUACCGCUUUGCAUGUACCGUAUGAAUCAGGACCGGCUAAUUCCGUGCCAGCAGCCGCGGUAAUACGGAAGGUCCGGGCGUUAUCCGGAUUUAUUGGGUUUAAAGGGAGCGUAGGCCGUAUGGUAAGCCUGCGGGGAAAUGCCCGGGCUCAACCCGGGCCCUGCAGUGGACACUGGCGUGCUUGAGUGCGAGGGAGGCAGGCGGAAUG
rnacentral:rRNA from 1 species